ACACAAACGAUGUAAAUAGCGGCUUAUUAAAUUCCUUGUCAAUGCUUGAUCUACUUUUAUACGGAAAGUGACGUCUUCAAGUCAUAAAUUUUCUUGAAGCUUGUUGUUGCCUAGCUACAUGAUGCCAAAUCUUCCAACCGUUAUGCUUUAUGGGUCAUUGAAGAAAAUUGCACCCAAUCGUAUCGAUCGAUACAAUACCCGCGUCUCGAUCAAGUAAACGUUUGAGAGAGCUAGUUUCGAUAUGCAUGCUUAGGGUGAAACAGCCGAUGAGAUUGUGUUCUUUGAGUUUUGUUUUUUCGGUGUCUGUUUAAUCGAGGAAUGUAGCAAUUGAUUUAGUUUUUUUCGUAAGGGAAUAUUAAAGUGAAGAGAAGAAUGUGAAAAUCUAAGCGCUGGAUCGCUUAAAACGUACAGACCUUCGGAAAAUAUGCAAAGAAGGUUUCGAGUACAACGAAUUUUUAUUUUCCACAUAGCUUGUGUCUUGUUAUUAAAAAUCGACACAAGUUUCGCCCAAUGUGAUUGUUCAACAGACUGUGCGUCAAAUUGUACUGCUGGUCAGUACUAUGAUUCAUCAGCUUGUGUCCCAUGCUCUACAGGCCAUUAUUGCCUUGGAGGGGUGAAUGGGAGGACAGCAUGUGCUGCUGGUACAGCCAAUCCUAACUCAGGAUCCAGUGAUUCCUCUGCCUGCGUAGCCUGUAAUUCUGAUGAAAUCAGUACCUCUGGAUCGUCUGCCUGUAUUAAAUGUCCGGCAGGAUUUCGCUGUUCUUCUUUGACCACUCAAACUGCUUGUACUUCACCUUCCUACUCAUUGGAAGGGGAUACAGGCUGCAAUUCCUGUCCUACUGGUUCAGUAUGUCCAACUACAAACCAGGCUCCACAGGACUGUCCUGCUGGUAAAGAACCAGAUGGAACAAAGACAGCAUGCACAGACUGUUCAGCAGGAUCUUACAGCACAGCCUCAGACAACUCCUGUCUGACAUGUCCAAAAGGCUCCAAGUGCCCCACUGGUGCUAUGACAACUCACACUGUGUGUCCCUCGGGAGAAUAUCAGGCAAGCACAGGUCAGACAUCCUGUACAGCAUGUACAGCCGGACACGAAUGCUCCGACCCCACCACCGCACCUCAGCAGUGUAACGCAGGGACAUACGCACCAGCCAACUCUGUGGCUUGUACCCCUUGUGCAGCAGGCAUGUAUAGUGAUAGCCAAGGUUCCAGUUCAUGUUCUGAGUGCCCAGAGGGCAAGAAUUGUUCCAACCCUGCCCUGACCCCUACAGAUUGUCCCGCUGGGACCUACAGUGCUCUAAACACCACAGCCUGUACCCAAUGUCCAGCAGGGCAUUACAGCAUUGCUGGGUCAGGGAGUUGUACGGUGUGCCCAGCGGGCAAGAACUGUUCCAAUAGUGCAGUUAUUCCCUCAGAUUGUCCAGAAAUGACCUACAGUACAGAAGGCAGUAGUGGGUGUACAGCUUGUAGUGCAGGACACUACAGUAUAGCAGGAUCAGGAAGCUGUACAAUUUGCCCAUCUGGUAAAUCCUGUCAAUCAGCCACUCCCAGUGAUUGUAGCCCAGGGACCUACAGCCAGGAAGGAGAUGGAGUGUGCAGCAAUUGUGCUGUAGGCUAUUACAGCAGCAGUGCUGGUUCUUCCUCAUGCUCAGUGUGUGCUGCAGGAAUGUCUUGUACCUCUAGCUCCAGCCAGCCUUGUGCUGUUGGUACUUACGGCAUUGAGGGAGAGAUGGGAUGUCGGCCAUGUACUGCAGGUCACUUCAGUGAGUCAGGGGCCAGUAAUUGUACGGCGUGUCCUGCCGGCACAGACUGCAGCAGUGCAGUGGGAUCUCCCCCUAACUGUUCGGCCGGUCAGUACAGUGUGGAAGAAGAUGCAGGCUGCACCAACUGUCCCCCAGGAACAUUUAGUAAUAGCCCAGGUUCCAGUUCAUGUUCUGAAUGUCCAGAGGGCAAGAAUUGUUCCAACCCUGCCCUGACCCCCACAGAUUGUCCCGCUGGGACCUACAGUGCUCUAAACACCACAGCCUGUACCCAAUGUCCAGCAGGGCAUUACAGCAUUGCUGGGUCAGGGAGUUGUACAGUGUGCCCAGCGGGCAAGAACUGUUCCAAUAGUGCGGGUGCUCCCUCAGAUUGUCCAGAAAUGACCUAUAGUACAGAAGGCAGUAGUGGGUGUACAGCUUGUAGCGCAGGAUACUACAGUACAGCAAGAUCAGGAAGCUGUACAAUUUGCCCAUCUGGUCAAUCCUGUCAAUCAGCCACUCCUAGUGAUUGUAGCCCAGGGACCUACAGCCAGCAAAGAGAUGGAGUGUGCAGCAAUUGUGCUGUAGGCUAUUACAGCAGCAGUGCUGGUUCUUCCUCGUGCUCAGUUUGUGCUGCAGGAAUGUCUUGUACCUCUAGCUCCAGUCAGCCUUGUGCUGCUGGUACUUAUGGCAUUGAGGGAGAGAUGGGAUGUCGGCCGUGUACUGCGGGUCACUUCAGUGAGUCAGGGGCCAGUAAUUGUACGGCAUGUCCUGCUGGCAAAGACUGCAGCAGUGCAGUGGGAUCUCCCCCUAACUGUUCGGCCGGUCAGUACAGUGUGGAAGAAGAUGCAGGCUGCACCAACUGUCCCCCAGGAACAUAUAGUGAUAGCCCAGGUUCCAGUUCAUGUUCUGAGUGCCCAGAGGGCAAGAAUUGUUCCAACCCUGCCCUGACCCCCACAGAUUGUCCCGCUGGGACCUACAGUGCUCUAAACACCACAGCCUGUACCCAGUGUCCAGCAGGGCAUUACAGCACUGCUGGGUCAGGGAGUUGUACAGUGUGCCCGGCGGGCAAGAACUGUUCCAAUAGUGCGGGUGCUCCCUCAGAUUGUCCAGAAAUGACCUAUAGUACAGAAGGCAGUAGUGGGUGUACAGCUUGUAGCGCAGGAUACUACAGUACAGCAGGAUCAGGAAGCUGUACAAUUUGCCCAUCUGGUAAAUCCUGUCAAUCAGCCACUCCCAGUAAUUGUAGCCCAGGGACCUACAGUCAGCAAGGAGAUGGAGUGUGCAGCAAUUGUGCUGUAGGCUAUUACAGCAGCAGUGCUGGUUCUUCCUCGUGCUCAGUUUGUGCUGCAGGAAUGUCUUGUACCUCCAGCUCCAGCCAGCCUUGUGCUGCUGGUACUUAUGGCAUUGAGGGAGAGAUGGGAUGUCGGCCAUGCACUGCAGGUCACUUUAGUGAGUCAGGGGCCAGUAAUUGUACGGCAUGUCCUGCUGGCAAAGACUGCAGCAGUGCAGUGGGAUCUCCCCCUAACUGUUCGGCCGGUCAGUACAGUGUGGAAGAAGAUGCAGGCUGCACCAACUGUCCCCCAGGUCACUACAGCUCGGCUGGUGCAUCAAGUUGCACCCAGUGUACCGCGGGGCAUUUCUGCACGGCCUCCACCCAGACAGAUUGUGGCACCACCAAAUACAGCAGUGCAGGAGCCACUUCUUGCAGUGAUUGUCCGGCAGGUUAUAAAUGUGCCAGCGCCACCACUGCCACUCCUACAAAGUGUUCUGCUGGAACGUACUCCGGAACGGCGGCUUCUUCUUGUACCAGCUGUGAUAAGGGACACCAGUGUCCAGUGGAUGGAAUGACCGCCCCAGAGGCUUGUGGGAAUGGAACUUAUGCCCCCUCAUUAGGCGCCACAGCAUGUACACCUUGUCCUGCAGGUCAGAAAUGUCCAGAUGUAACAGCAGCAGCCAGUGACUGUGUGCGGGGAGAAUACAGCCCAGAGGGCUCCUCCUUGUGCUACUCCUGUCUGGAUGGAUGGUACUCUGACUCAACCCAAUCAGCAACUUGUACAGAGUGCCCAGCAGGCUCCAAAUGCCCUACCAAGAAUAAUGUGCCAACACAGUGUGGAUCAGGCGAGUACAGUUCUGCUGGCCAGACUUCGUGUACUCAGUGUGCAGUAGGGACCUACAAGUCAGCGAGUGGAGCAGGCACCUGUACACCCUGUGAGGCAGGCUACGAGUGUCCCACCACCACAGCUAGAACUCCCUGUGCCAGUGGUUACUACUCCCUGGGGGGAGACACGGCCUGUAUCCCCUGCCCUGGAGGAUAUUCCUGUACCACUACCAGCUCCAGCCCUGUGCUGUGUACUGCUGGAAACUAUGCCAAUAAUGCUAGCACCACCUGUUCACCCUGUGCAGCGGGGUACUAUUGUCCCACUGACGGGAUGUCGGAACCUCUGGCUUGUCCCACAGGCUACUAUCAGACCAGCACCGGACAAACCAGCUGUACCCAGUGUGGGCAAGGUUACAAAUGUCCGAACAAGACGGUCACCCAGGAAGCCUGCCCUGUGGGAGAGUAUCAAGAUGGUCGGGGAAUGGAGUCCUGUAAAUCUUGUCCCUCUGGAUACUAUGCCGACACCACAGGAAAAAUCACCUGUACAAUUUGUCCCGCGGGAUCCAGCUGUUCCGAUCCGACAGUAGCUCCAGUAGCAUGUUCUAGUGGCCAGUACUCCCUUGCUGGUGCCACUUCCUGUACAACGUGUCCUGCAGGAUACGCCUGCCUAUCAGGAUCACAGACAGCCUGCACUAAUGGUCAAUACUCCAAUGGUACCUUCUGCGUCGACUGUCCCGCUGGGACAUACUGCCCCGAUCCAACCCUGGGGAGCGUGGUGUGUAGUAACGGUCAGUACCAGCCCAGCACUGCCCAGACAUCCUGUAUUCAGUGCCCCAGCGGUCAGUCCUGUCUGGAUAAAACAGCCACACCUGUAGACUGCAACCCUGGAUAUUUCAGCUUGACAGGAGAGGAAACUUGUACUAAAUGUCCAGAUGGCUACUACAGUGCUACAAAGGCAGGUUCCUGUUCCCAGUGUCCCGCGGGACAGAAAUGUUUCGAUGGAACCAGCUUCAUUUCUCCAACCAACUGUGCAAUUGGGUUCUUCUCAGCACUGGGGCAAUCAACUUGUACACAGUGUGAAGCAGGGUACACCAGCAGUGCUGGAGCCUCAGCCUGCUCCCAGUGCUCAGCUGGAUUCCAGUGUCAGGAUCCAAAAUCUCCAGUGGCUUGUACAUCUGGAUAUUACAGCCUCUCAGGAAAGACUACAACAUGUACUCAAUGUCCAGCCGGAUUCUCCUGCAGUGCAAAUAAUAUCUCCCCAACCCCAUGUCCUAGUGGCACCUACUCCACAGCAGGACAGACUUCCUGUACAGCUUGCCCCGCUGGUCAGUCAUGUGACACAGGGUCACCCACCAGCUGUGGAACAGGAUAUUACAGUCCCUCUGGCUCUGGCUGUAGCAUUUGCCCUGCUGGCUAUGAAUGCAGUGGAAGUACUGCCACCCUGUGUACCUCUGGGUAUUACAGCCUGGCGGGAGAGAUGAACUGUACAAAAUGCCCAGCGGGAAAAAUGUGCCCUUUCCCCUCCAUCUCCCCCAUCAACUGCCCCACUGGCACCCAUACACAGAGUUUGGAGGGUCAGACUUCGUGUACUGACUGUCAGGCAGGGUUCUACUGUCCAGCCAACACCCAUGAUCAGAUUGCCUGUGUGACAGGAGAGUACUCCUUGGCCAAGUCCACUUCCUGUACUGUGUGUCCGGCUGGCUACUCCUGUGCCACUACCUCAGCCUCCCCCUCAGCCUGCGCGGCGGGGACCUACUCCCUGGGGGGUAACACCAGCUGUACCGACUGUGAGGCAGGGUACGCCUGUCCAUCCACAUCAUCACUAACCAACAGAUAUCCAUGUCCUUCAGGGAGUUAUUCCACUGGUGCCCAGGCAUCAUGUACCCUGUGCCCCGCUGGUAAAGCAUGUUCAUCAACCACAUCUAGUACACAGACUAGUUGUACCGGUGGACAAUAUGCCUUUGCCGGAUCUGCAGUCUGCACUGCAUGUCCAGCAGGAUGGGAGUGUCCAAAUGUAGAUGGUAGUCAGAAUGCCCAGUGUUUGCCAGGAACAUACUCGGUAGGAAAUGAACAAUCUUGCAACCCAUGUACAGCUGGAAAUGCUUGUCCCCUCACCGACAGUGCUGCCAGCAUAACUUGCACAGCCGGUUCAUACGCAAUAGCUGAAAGCACCACUUGUACUGUCUGUCCACCAGGGUAUGAGUGUCCAUCAACCACCACUGCCACAGAGACCAAGUGUGCUGAUGGUUUCUUCAGUGAAGGAGGUAGAGCCGCCUGUGUGCAAUGUACUGCUGGUUACGAAUGUCCAACCAUCUACGACAGUUACUCCGUGGUGUGUGCUACUGGGUAUUACUCUCUGGCCGGAGCGAAGGAAUGCACCCAAUGCCCUGCUGGUGAAGAAUGUUCCUCUACUACAGCUGUAGGGACAGCAUGUGUCGCAGGUUACUACAGUCUUGGUGGACAGAAAUCUUGUACACAGUGCCCAGCAGGAUACUCAUGUGCCCAAAAAGACCAAAAACCAGUCAUAUGUGCUGUUGGGAAAUACAGUGCUGCUGGAGCUACUGCUUGUACUGACUGUGAUGCUGGGUUUUUCUGUCCAGCAGGAAGUACUCAAAAGGACCCACCAUCUGCCAUCUGUUCUUUGGGAUACUAUUGCACUGCUGGGGCAACUGUUGAAACACCUUGUGAUAUGGGAACCUAUGGUGGCACAAAAGGUCUUACUGUCGCAACAGCCUGUACUGAUUGUCCUCAAGGAUUUUACUGUCCAGCUGGAACAGCUGGAGUUCCAACUAACAGCCUUCUUUGUCCAAGAGGGCAUUUCUGUCCAACUAAAACUGGUGAUUACAAGGCCAACCCAUGUCCCCAUGGAAAGUUCUUUAAUAAUUUGGGAGCUGUUGUUGUUACUGAAUGUAUUGACUGUCCAGCAGGAAGAUACUGCCCACCAGGCACUGAUGACCCAAUGUAUGAUGGCUAUAUUUGCCCUCGAGGAUCUUAUUGCCCUCAAGGCUCUGGAACUGCUCCUAUUAACUGCCCAGCAGGCACGUAUACAGAAGAAGAAGGAGCUAUAGGAUUUCAGAGUUGUAAAAUUUGCCCAGCUGGACAUUACUGUCCAGCUGGAACUCACACCCCAACAGCAUGCAGUCCAGGGACAUUUAAUCAAUACACAAACAUGCAACAGGCAUCAGACUGUUUGGCCUGCAUUGCAGGGCAAGCCUGCACCAAGCAUGGACUUGCCAAACCAGACUAUCCAUGUGAUCCUGGUCACUAUUGUCCUGGAGGAAAUAGAUUACCAACGGAAAACCCCUGCCCAGCUGGAACAUUCACCGAUUUCAAGAACCUUACCGCCAUGUCCCAGUGCGAGACAUGUAGAUCCACCAAGGCCUGUCUGGAGGGGACCGGGGGUCAGCAGAAACCCCCUGUGCCCUGUGGGCAGGGUCAUUUCUGUCCAGACGGAACAGCUUCCCCCACCCAGUAUCCUUGUCCAGCAGGAACCUACACAAACCUGACCAAUCUUUACAAGGUGGAGCAGUGUACUAUCUGCCCCAGGGGCUGGUACUGUUUGGAGGGAUCAGCCACACCCACAGGCAUGUGCGAUAAAGGACAUUGGUGCCCUGAUGGUACCCCCACAGCUACCACUAACCCCUGCCAUGCUGGUUCCUACAGCAACAAGACCGGUAACACCGCCUGGGAACAGUGUGACGAUUGCCCAGAGGGCAACUACUGCCCGCAAGCCUCUGUGCUGCCCACACCAUGCCCAGCAGGAAAAUACAAUGAUCAAAUCAAGGGAGAGAACAUCACGUACUGUGUGGACUGUACCGCUGGGUACUACUGCCCCGGGACUGGAAAUGUGAACCCCAUCAUCUGUGACAAGGGCAACUACUCCGACACAGGAGCCUCGGUCUGCACAACCUGUGAAGCUGGCUACUACUGUGAUCUGAACGCCACCAGCAUGACCUACAUGUACAGCGACCGCAUCUGUCCCGCCGGUCUGGAGUGUCCGCCCGGAAUGACCAGAGCUCCCAAUCUUGUCCAGGAUAAGUGUCGGAAAGGCCACUACUGUCCCAAAGGAGAUGUGAAUCCAUACCCGGUUCCAUGUCCCAACGGAACCUUUAAUGCGGAAUAUGGACUGAAGCAGGUGUCGGAGUGUCAGCAGUGUACCCCUGGAAUGUACUGUAUCCCGGAGGGCUUGUCCUCCCCUGCUGGGGACUGUCCAGGAGGUUAUUAUUGUCCCCUGGGCACAGCAGCUCCAGAAUCCUUUCCCUGUCCCAUCGGGUUCUACAGAAACGGAUCAGCCAAGGAAUCCUUCCAAGAUUGUGCAGAAUGUAUCUCUGGUUUUUACUGUGACAGAGAAGGACUGGCCACCCCUAUUGACUGCCCUGCUGGAUCUUUCUGUGUCAGUGGAAGUACCUUCCCGACCCCUUGUGCCCUGGGUACCUACAGUAACUCCACCAACCUACGUAGAAGUACCGAUUGCACACCAUGUCCAGGUGGCUACUACUGUGAUGGCAUUGGAAGAACUGCUCCAACUGAUGUAUGUGAUCCAGGGUUCUACUGCAGAGAAAAGGCCUACUCCUCGGCUCCUCCAGAUGGCCUCACGGGUGGAUUGUGUCCUGCAGGAGGCUACUGUCCUGCAGGGUCUGCCACACCUACAGCUUGUCCUGUGGGUGAGUACAGUAAGAGUGCAGGGGCCAAGACCAAGUUUGAUUGUAUUCCUUGUGACCCUGGAUUCUACUGUGCUGGUUCUAGUAGUACUGCUGCUUCGUCUAAGUGUGCUGCUGGAUUCUAUUGUACUGGAGGGUCAGGAGUCCCCACACAGUUCUCUACCCCUGCUGGACACUACACCCAAGAAGGAGCCUUCAAACCUGAACCCUGCCCAGCAGGACAGUUCCAGCUUGCCCAAGAGUCCUCCAAGUGUGAUUUGUGCAGUCAAGGGUACUACUGUAAUGGAACUGGUACAAUCGAUCAGAUUCUCUGUCCUCGAGGAUACUACUGUCCUGAGGGCAGCAGCUAUCCUACUCCUUGUCCUCGAGGAACAUUCUUGAAGGACACAGGGAAGUAUGAGGAGGCUCAUUGUGACCCCUGCACCACUGGGUAUGCUUGUGAUUCUGUGGGACUGCCUGCAGCCGUUACCCCAUGCUCUUCAGGUCACUACUGUACCCUGGGAUCCAACAUGACAGACCCCAUUGGUCAAACAUUUGGUGACCUUUGCCCCCCAGGGUAUUUCUGUCCAGAAGGAACUGGAGACUAUCAGCAUUUCCCUUGUCCAAACGGAACAUACAGUGCUUUCACAGGUAACUUGGGAGAGGGUAACUGCACAGCCUGUGAUGGAGGGAAAGCCUGCGUGGGUCCGGGACUCACUACCCCCAACAGAAACUGUUCCACUGGCUACUACUGUAAAUCUGGGGCCUAUUCAGACACCCCAAUGGACGGAGGGGCCACAGGUGACCCCUGUACAAAAGGUCACUACUGCCCCGAGGGCACCAGCACUCCUCUUGCCUGCGCGGCAGGCUCCUAUAUGAACACCACGGGUUACUCCUACUGUUUCGACUGUCCGGCAGGGUUUUUCUGCGUUUCGGGAGAGGUAGACCCACUGAGGUGUCCCAGAGGAAGAUACUGCCCUGGCAACACUACUGCUGACCAGCCACCUUGCCCCACAGGAACUUACAACCCUGACUAUGGUAUGACAAAGGAGUCUGACUGUCUGCCAUGCUCAGGUGGAUUUUACUGUUACAAGCUGGGUGCCAUUAAUUUCGACUUUAGUUUGAAUGACACAGGAACUGGACAGUGUGCUGCAGGCUAUUACUGCAAAUCAGGUGUAAACGUCAGCACCCCCACAGCUGCCACCACCAGUGGAAUCGGAGGUCCUUGUCCCCCAGGCUUCUACUGCCCACUGCAGACAGAGGACCCCAUCCCCUGCCCCAAUGGAACCUACAGGGAUACAUCCCAGGGGGCCAAGAAGGAUGAUUGCUUGCCAUGUAAGCUGGGAGAGUACUGUGGGUCAGAGGGCCUAACAAAUGGUACAGGACCCUGCGCCAAGGGAUUCUACUGCUACAGAGGCAAUAAUGUCCCUACACCUCUAGGAGAUGAGCCAGAUAUAGGAGGACCAUGCCCAGUGGCCCAUUACUGCCCAGAGGGCACUUCUGUCCCGCUCUCUUGUCCCUCAGGAACCUACAACAACCUGACUGGCCAGUGGAAUUGUACAGAAUGCCCUGCGGGCUUCUACUGCAAUGAGAACACAACCUCGUACGAAAUUUUCCCAUGCCCGACUGGGUAUUACUGUCCCAAUGGAACCAAGCAUGCUAAUGAAUAUCCAUGUCCCAAGGGCACAUACCGGGACACUUUAAUGGGACAGAGUGAAUCGGAGUGUCUCCCCUGCACAGCUGGCUACUACUGUGGAACCCAAGGACUCAGUGCUGUCUCUGGGCAAUGCUCAGCAGGAUACUUCUGUGUGCUGGGGGCCUGGUCAGCCACUCCUACAGACUACAACAACUUCACCUCUGGAGACUGUCUGUGUCCUGCCAACAGCACGGGGGGCAUCUGUCAGCCUGGCUACUACUGCCCAGUGGGCUCCAUGGAACCGACAGUGUGUGAUGAGGGGCACUACUGUGAUACACCAGGUUUGGCGACCAUGGCUGGUCAGUGUCAAGCUGGGUACUACUGUGCGGGGCGGGCCGACCGUCAGGACCCCACCGACGGCACCACUGGAAACAUCUGUCCCCCAGGCAGAUACUGUGGAGUUGGAACCACCAGCAACCAAGCAAAGUGUCCUUCGGGAACCUUCUCCAACAAGACCGGAAACACCUUGUCCUCAGACUGUACACCAUGCACUCAGGGGUAUUAUUGUGAGAAUGAGGGCCUUACACAACCCACAGGGCCUUGCGAUGCAGGAUAUUAUUGUCCAACUGGUCAGAACAUGAGCAACCCUUACACUUGCUCCGCCGGCUUCUAUUGCCCCACAGGAAGCUUCGAACAGAUCAAGUGUCCAUCAGGAGAAUACCAGGAUCAACAGGGCCAGUCCUCCUGUAAAACUUGUCCAGCAGGUUAUUACUGUGACAUUGUAAACUCCCCGGUGACAACUUACUCCCCAUACCCAUGCCCAGUGGGCUACUACUGCCCUAAUGGUACAGAGUCAAGCACCCACCAUCCCUGUCCUGCAGGGACAUACAAUCCCGAUACCAAGCUACAAGAUGUCUCCGAGUGUACUGCAUGUGAUGCUGGCAAAUACUGUGGAACCAAUGGACUUAGUGCUGUUUCUGGGGACUGUUUGGCUCGUUACUGGUGUAUGAAUGGUUCCUCCACCUCCUCCCCCAACGACGGGGUCACAGGUCAGCUCUGUCCGGCUGGUAGUUACUGUAUACAAGGAACCCCUGUACCAACCGCCUGUCCACUAGGUACCUGGUCCAACAGCACUGGACUAGCAACAGCUGGAGAGUGUACUGACUGCUCAGGAGGGCAAUACUGUGAUACCACUGGACUGACCUCACCCACAGGACCUUGUGCCCCAGGGUACUACUGUGCAGGAAAAUCAAUCACAGCCACACCCAAUGACACUACGACUGGGGACCCAUGUACAGUUGGACAUUAUUGCCCGGAGGGAACUGCUGUACCCAUUCCUUGUCCUGAUGGAAAGUACAUGACCAACACAGGAGCUGCUGAAUGCUGGAACUGCACACCAGGGCAUUACUGCAUCACUGGACUCACUCCUGAUGACUGCCCUCCAGGGUAUUAUUGCCCUGAGGGCACAGGACAAAUUUGGGAAUCCUGCCCUCUAGGAACUUUCAGUACCGCCACAGGUCUGUGGGAUGCUGAUAAUUGUACACAGUGUACUGGAGGAUGGUACUGCGAUAAAUUGAAUGCCACAACUGUAGCAGGUAAAUGUAAUGCUGGAUAUUACUGUACAUCAGGAUCAAACACACCAACACCAGAUGUCAACAACACGGGAGUGGCUGGCCCAUGUCCCACUGGGCAUUACUGCCCCCAGCAGACUACAACACCUCAACCAUGUCCAUUGGGAACCUUCAACAAUGUGACUAAACUGACAUUACAAUCUCAAUGCACUCCCUGCUCGUAUGGAAAAUACUGUGGCUCUACAGGCCUGACUGAACCUACAGGGGAUUGCUGGGCAGGAUUCUAUUGUCUGCAAGGAGCUCAAUCACCAAACAACCCAGUGGUGGAUUCCACUGGAGGACCAUGUCCCAUUGGCAGUUACUGCCCCAAUGGCACUUCAUACCCACUGGGAUGCCCUGCUGGAACUUACAAUCCAUCAACAGGCCUUGCCGAAUGUAUACAGUGCCCAGCGGGCUACUAUUGUCCAGAAAACUCAACCACUUACACAGGAAACGACUGCCCAAAAGGACAUUACUGUCUAGCAGGAACAGGCAGCAUGAACCAAUACCCCUGCAGUAUCGGAACCUAUAAUGACUACACAGGCAAGCAAUCCAGUGCUGACUGUGUUCCAUGUGAGCCUGGGAAAUACUGUGCCACACCUGGCCUGUCCCUACCCACAGGGGAUUGUACAGCAGGCUGGUACUGUGUGAGAGGGGCAUGGUCUGACCAACCGGCAGAUAUCACUACCUUUAACUACACCAUGUCCUCCUGCUUCUGUCCGGUCAACCAGACAGGCGGGAAGUGUCAGCCCGGGGAAUACUGUCCCACAGGAUCGGACCAACCCCAGGCCUGUCUCCCAGGAUACUACUGUGGUUCUGCCGGACUGUCCAACGUGACCGGUCCAUGUGAUGCAGGCUACUACUGUACCCUUGGUGCCACACGAUCAGACCCACAGAAUGAUGCCACCGGGGGCACCUGUCCCGCUGGUCACUACUGCCCCCAGGGGACAGGUGUUCCCCAAGGAUGCCCCCCUGGCUACUUCACCAAUGCCACAGGAAACGUGGACUUUUCUGGAUGUAAACUUUGCACAGAGGGGUACUACUGUGAGACUACAGGACUGUCAGCUCCCACAGGGGAAUGUUCUAUGGGGUACUACUGCCCUGCUGGUCAGAAUGUCAGUAACCCCACAGCCUACAUCUGUACCCCAGGCCACUAUUGUCCAGCUGGAAGCCCAUCAGAGGUGUCCUGUCCCUCAGGCCUCUAUCAGAACGAGGCAGGACAGGGAAGCUGUAAAACCUGCCCAGAGGGCUAUUACUGCGAUGGCACCAUCCAAAACAACACCUUUUGCUCCACGGGUGUCCAGAACCCAACACCCUGUCAACCGGGCUAUUACUGUCCCAACGGAACCAAGUACGCCACGGAGUUUGGCUGUCCCAAUGGAACCUACAGUGACCAGUCUUAUCUGAAACAAGCCAGUGAGUGUAUCACCUGCCCGGGAGGGAAGUACUGCGGACAGGAAGGACUAUCGGUGCCCUCUGGAGACUGUCAUGGCGGCUACGUGUGUAUACUUGGAGCCACUUCUGCUACACCAACUGAUGGUACCACUGGCAAGAUCUGUGAUGCUGGAGGGUACUGUCCAGUAGGGUCUAAUAGCACCACAUUGUGUCCACCAGGAUCUUACAACCCAACACAAGGUCUGCAGGCCCUGUCAGAAUGCACUGGAUGCACCCCAGGAACGUUCUGUCCAAACUACGGCAUGACUGCCCCGCAAGGAAACUGUUCAGCUCAGUACUACUGUGCUGGCAAUGCAACCACGGCCUCCCCUAAUGAUGGAGUGACAGGUGACGUGUGUCCAAUAGGGCACUACUGUCCAGAGGGAACCCCCACGGCUAUUCCUUGUGACCCAGGCUACUACACAGACACCACCCUCAACUCUGUGUGUGACAUCUGUCCGGCAGGUAAAUACUGCACCACAGGAUCCAACCCCCAGGCUUGCCCUGCUGGCUUCUAUUGCCCUGAAGGCACUGGACAUGUCUGGCAGUCUUGCCCAGCUGGUACUUUUAAUCCAAGCACAGGUCUCUCCAAUCUGACAGAAUGCACUCAGUGUGAUGGAGGAUUCUACUGUGACGUGACCAACUUGACGGCAGUGGCUGGACAAUGUGCGGCAGGGUAUUUCUGCAGAAGCGGCUCAGAUGACAUGACACCUAGUGGCGCCACAUCAGGUGACGCUGGUCCUUGCCCAGUGGGCCAUUACUGUGUGGUCCAGACCCAAGACCCAACUCCCUGCCCAGCAGGGACUUUCAACAACCGCACCAUGCUCCAAGCAGAAUCUGAGUGUCAACAGUGUACACCAGGAUAUUACUGUGAUGUGCCUGGCCUGGAGUACCCCACUGGAAUCUGUAAUGCUGGAUUCUUCUGUGCUGGUGGAUCCAAUUCUUCUAGUCCUUCCUCCACUGAUGCAACUGGAGGGCCAUGCCCAGCGGGCACUUACUGCCCAGCAGGAACUAGUGUGGCCAUCAACUGCACAGCAGGAACCUACACCAAUGCUGACCAGCAAUCAAACUGUACUACAUGCCCAGCGGGCUACUACUGUCCAUCUGGCAGCAACAGCAUAACUGCUUGUCCUCAAGGUUAUUACUGCCCAGUUUCCACUGAAUUUGCCUACCAAUAUCCCUGUCCAAAUGGCACCUUCAACAACAUCACAGGAGCCCAAGAUUCCAGUCUCUGCCAGAUUUGUCCACCCGGUGAAUAUUGCCCCACCCCUGGGCUAGCCCUGCCCGCUGGGAAGUGUUCUGGAGGCUGGUACUGUACAUCAGGCUCUUGGUCCAGUCAGCCAGCUGUGCUGGGUAAUGACACGGGAUCCACAUGUGACUGUCCCGCCCAGAGUAUUGGCGGCAAGUGUCAGGCAGGAACCUUCUGUCCUGAGGGGUCGUCUGCUCCCAUUUCUUGUCUGGGAGGACAUUAUUGUGAUGUGGCUGGUCUAGACAAUGUCACUGGAGAGUGUUUACCAGGCUACUACUGUACCGGAGGAGCAAUUCUGAUGAACCCUAUCAACGAAACAUAUGGCGAUAUCUGUCCCAAGGGACACUACUGCCCACAGGCCAGCUCCUAUGCCAUCCCCUGUGCUGAGGGAACAUACAACAACUGGUUUGGCGCCAACAACAUCUCCACCUGUCUUCCAUGUACUGCUGGCAAGUACUGUUCUGGAACAGGUCGAGCACUGCCUAAUGAUGACUGUGAUGUGGGUUGGUACUGUGUGGAGGGAUCCAUUGUUCCUCAGCCGCCGGGAAGCCAGUGUCUGGCAGGGCAUAUGUGUCCCAAGGGAAGUCCCUCACAAACUCCAUGUCCAUCCGGCUACUAUCAGCCUCUUGCAGGACAAGGGGCUUGUAUAGAGUGUCCAGCUGGAAAAUACUGCUCCCAGGGUGAGGCCAUUGCAGAGCAGCAGAGUGGAGUGAACGCCUCCUCCCAUGGAGUAGUCACACCAAAGGAUUGCCCAGCAGGAUUCUACUGUCCGAACGGAACACAGACAGAUCGGGAGAACCCUUGUGAAGUAGGGACCUACAGCAACACAACAGGCCUGGAGAGUCUAGCUGAAUGUACCGACUGCCCUCCAGGCUACUACUGUGACUCUGAGAACAUCACAGAGCCCACUGGGCAAUGCUUUGCAGGAUACUACUGUGUGCUGAAGUCUUCCUCUCCCACACCUUUGCUAUCAGCUGCUGGUGGCCCCUGUCCCCAGGGAACCUACUGUGAGGUGGGCUGGUCCUACCCCACACCUUGUCCAAAGGGAACAUUCGGUGACAGAGAGAAGCUUCCUUCACUGAAUGACUGCACAUUCUGUCCACCAGGAGAAUACUGCUCGUCUUCCAAUCUAAAUGCUUCCUCAGGGUCAUGUUUGGCUGGAUAUUACUGCACAAAUGGGUCAGAAGAAGCCAACCCUGUGGGUAAGACUUAUGGUGAUGAAUGCCCAGCCGGUCACUAUUGUCCAGACAAGAGCUACCAACCAACAGCCUGUCCAGCAGGUUCUUACAAUCCCAACACGAGGAGCACCAAUCAGACAGCCUGCUUGUCAUGUGACCCUGGUAAAUUCUGUAACAGCACUGGGUUAUCUGCCGUAUCAGGAGACUGCACCCAAGGUUUCUACUGCACAGCAGGGGCAAGUUCAUCAGCGCCCUACGAUGGAAUUACAGGAAACAUCUGCCCAGCAGGCUCUUACUGCCCCUCAGGAUCUCCACAACAUUUGUUCUGUCCAAAUGGCACCUACACUAACCAUACUGGUGCCUCUUCCUGCUACGACUGCCCCGAGGGUUAUUACUGUGUCAACAAAGACCGGGCAGAACUUUGUCCCCCAGGUUACUACUGUCCCUACCAGACUGGAGCGGACCUCCAACCCUGCCCAGCGGGAACAUACAACCCAGUGUCUGGUCUGGCCAAUGUGAGCCAGUGUACACAGUGUGAUGGAGGGAAGUACUGCCAGGUGCCAGGUCUGUCUGCUGUCAGUGGAAACUGUAACCCAGGAUUCUUCUGUACAUCUGGUGUGGAUACAGCCAACCCUGCAGGAAACAACACUGGAGUGGGAGGGGUCUGUCCAGUAGGAAGUUACUGUCCAGAGGCAACCAUUACUCCCCAGCCCUGUCCCCCAGGACAAUACAGUGACAGCACUGGCCAGACAAACUGCACCCUUUGUCCUCUGGGUUACUACUGUGUGGAGAACUCAACAGCUUUCUCAGAACAACUCUGUCCCCCGGGAUACUACUGUCCAGUGGGAACUAGCAAUCCUUACCAGUACCCUUGUCCCAAAGGAACGUAUAACCCAGCCAAUGCCAGCCACUCUAUCAGUGAUUGUCUUACCUGUCCACCUGGAGAGUACUGUGAAACUGAUGGUCUAGGUGCCACCUCUGGUAAUUGUACAGCAGGGUGGUACUGCACAGGUGGUUCCUACAUGGCACAGCCCACCACCACAGCCAAUCAGACCAAUCUCCCAGACUGCACCUGCCCACUGGCCAAUUACACAGGUGGGCAGUGCUGGCCAGGCACCUACUGUCCCAGUGGAGCAAACUACCCAGUGAACUGUGACCCUGGAAAGUACUGUAUGCAGUCAGGACUGACAGCCCCAGAGGGAAAUUGCGAUGCAGGAUAUUAUUGCAAUGCCAGCAGUACCCGCCCCGACCCCCCAGGAAAUGUGUGUCCAGCAGGGUACUACUGUGAGGCAGGGUCAGGAACUCCUACACCUUGUCCGGCCGGAACUAUGUCCAAUACUGUUGGGAAUACCAACUCCAGUAACUGCCUGCAGUGUACACCAGGUUACUAUUGUGCUGGAACUGCAAAUACCAAUAUGACAGGCCCCUGCUCAGCAGGAUUCUACUGCCCAGGGGGUCAGGACAGUGCCACUCCCCUGGACUACAACUGCACCAUGGGUCACUACUGCCCUGCUGGGUCAGACCAGCCUGUGCCUUGCUCUGCUGGGUCAUACCAGGACAAUACUGGGUCCACCUCCUGUCUACCAUGUCCAGCUGGAAGUUAUUGUGACCCAGUGGAAGCUGCAGCCUCCCUAGGAAUCAAUGGAACUGGUGUUGUGACCCCUACAGACUGUCCUCAAGGUCACUACUGCCCCACCAGCACCCCCAGCAGCACCACCUACCCCUGUCCAGUGGGGACCUUCAACAAUGACACCAAACUCCAGGCUGCCAGCUCCUGUCUCCCCUGUACCGCUGGCUUUUACUGUGAUGCUCCAGGCCUAAUGGAACCUACUGCUCCAUGCGGAGCUGGCUAUGUGUGUUCCAGUGGUGCUAACUCCUCCUCCCCAAUAGAUGGAACCACUGGAUACAUCUGUCCAAUGGGAGCCUACUGUCCGGCUGGUUCUGGACAGGAGACAAAGUGUCCUGUAGGAACCUUCAGUAACUUGACCGGUCUCCAUAAUGUCUCCUCCUGUGAACAGUGCACACCUGGAUGGUACUGUAAUGUACAAGGUCUGACUUCACCUGCUGGUAAAUGUUUAGCCAGUCACUACUGCCUGCUGGGAUCCACAGAGCAGAACCCCAUCGGUCAGUCCUACGGGGACUACUGUACAGCCGGGCACUACUGCCCAGAGGGCACAGGAUCCCCAGUCCCCUGCCCGAUCGGUACCUACCUCCCCAGCACUGGGCAGUCCAUGUUGGCCCAUUGUAUUGAUUGUGCCCUGGGCAAAUACUGUGACACUGUCGGGCAGGCCAACUACACAGGUGACUGUGAUGCUGGCUUCUACUGUGACCGUGGAGCCAAUGUGAGUCAGCCCACCGAUGGAGUGACGGGAGGGGUGUGUCCUGCAGGAAAUUACUGCCCUCAGGGCACAGCGGUACCCAUACCCUGCGAAGAUGGAACAUACAUGAAUCACACCCAAGCUAGUUUGUGUGACCCUUGCCCUCCCAGAUAUUACUGUGUCAACAAAGACAGAGCAGACCCCUGCCCAGUGGGAAAAUACUGUAUCGGAAACACUGGCUUUAACUACUCGCUGUGUCCAGCUGGUACCUACAACCCGACAGAACUACUUAUGUCUGAGUCGGAGUGUAAACAGUGCGAUGGAGGGUACUACUGUGAUGUCCCGGGACUGUCCAACAUGACCGCCCAGUGUGCCGAGGGAUACUAUUGUCAGAGUGGAGUCAACACAGCAGCCCCAAGUAACAACAACACAGGAUUUGGGGGAGGAUGCCCUGAGUCCCACUAUUGCCCUCUGGGAACCACAGAUCCCAUUGCUUGUCCCGCAGGAACCUACAAUGACCUCACCCACCAGAAGAUCUGUAAGAGCUGUGAGCCUGGCUACUUCUGUGUGGCCAACUCCACAACCUACCUGUCCACACCUUGUCCAACAGGUUCCUAUUGCCCCAGUGGUACAAAACAUGCCACAGAACAUCUAUGUCCAGCAGGAACUUACAACAACAAAACUGGGGCCAACAGUGAAUUUGAUUGCCUCCCUUGUACAGGUGGUAAAUACUGUAAUGGUGAUGGUCUAGCAGAGCCCACAGGAGACUGUGCCCCAGGGUGGUACUGUUCAGGUGGUGCCUACACAGACAAACCCACCACCUACGUCAACUCCACUACCCUGUACAGCACCAACUACUCCUGUCCGGUGUACGCUCUCAACAACACCGGCGGCAUUUGUGAGCCAGGAUACUACUGUCCAGCUGGCAGCAGCCAGGCCCUCUCCUGUAGUCUGGGUAAAUACUGUGAGACCUACGAGCUUUCCACUCCCACAGGAAACUGUUCUGCUGGCUAUUUCUGUAACGGAACGGCCAGUGUUCCCAAUCCCAAGGAGUGUGACAUGGGCUACUACUGCCCAGAGGGCACCACAGUGCAGAUGGCUUGUUCCCCUGGAACAUUCUCAAAUCGCACAGGCAACACCAAUGAUUCAUUCUGCCUGCUCUGUACUGCCGGUAAAUACUGUCAGGAUUAUGGACUUGCCCUACCAAAUGGAGAUUGCUUUGCUGGGUAUUAUUGCCCUGAGGGCCAGGAUGUGCCACAGCCCACCAAUUACGCCUGCAGCCCAGGGCAUUUCUGUGAAGUUGGAAGUUGGAAUGAGACAGGGUGUCCAUCAGGAAUGUACCAACCCCACUGGGCCAGAUCCACAUGUGAAAUAUGCCCAGCAGGCUCCUACUGCAAAGCAUUUGGUGACUAUGAGGUAUUAGACGCCCCCAAUGUGACCCUAUCAGGUAACUACACUAACAGAUACAGGAGUUACCGAGGUGUGUCUGUCCCCACAGCCUGUCCCCCGGGCUCCUACUGUCCCACAGGAACCAAAGAUGCCAUGGAGUACCUCUGUCUGGAAGGAACCUACAGUAACAAGACCAGUCUGAACAACUACACACAGUGCACAGCUUGUGACCCUGGCUACUACUGCAGUGGACAAGGAAACACAGACUCUGUGACCCAGUGCUCUGCUGGUUACUACUGCACAAGUGGUGCCUACAACUCCACCCCCACAGACGGCACCACCGGUAACAUCUGCCCACCAGGCAGAUAUUGUGAAGUGGGCAGCAUCACUGGAGUGGGCUGCCCAGUGGGCACCUUCAGUAAUCAGGCUGGGCUGAAGAGCAGCUCCGAGUGUACAAACUGUACUGGAGGGUACUACUGUGGAAGUACAGGACUAACUGUAGAGUCUGGGCUCUGUCACGCAGGUUACUUCUGUACACUGGGAUCAGAAGAACCCGCCCCUGUGGGUAAAACCUACGGAGACGUGUGUCCUGCUGGCUACUACUGUAACAAUGGCACCCACACCCCUGCUCCCUGUCCCCCGGGGACAUUCCUCAACUCCACCAGCAUGGGAGACAUCAACAACUGCCUGCAGUGUUCUCCAGGAUACUACUGUGAUUCACAUGGACAGACAGCCAUUACAGCCGAGUGCACUGCUGGUCACUAUUGCACCUUGGGAGCAAACACAUCUACUCCAACAGAUGGCAGCACAGGGAACAUUUGCCCAGAAGGCCAUUACUGUAUCCAAGGGUCCAGCAAACCAGAGCCGUGUGGAAAUGGAACAUACAUGAACCACACUGGGGCCUCUGCCUGUUAUAUCUGCCCUGCUGGUCGUUACUGUGUGAACAGAGACAGGGCUGAUGUCUGUCUCCAGGGCUACUACUGCCCAGAGGGCACUGGGGCCGAUCUCCAGCCCUGCCCAACAGGCACAUUUGGAAACACCACAGGACUCAUCAAUGAAACUCAGUGUACUCCUUGUACAGGUGGCUCUUUCUGUGGGACGCCUGGAGCCUCCCAGCCUGAUGGAGAGUGCUUGGCAGGCUAUUAUUGUGAGACGGGAGUAGACACAGCUACACCCACAGACUCUGGAGCCCACAAAGGAAUUGGAGGACAGUGCCCACUUGGAUCAUACUGUCUGAAGGGAUCAACCACACCAACACCAUGUGCUGCUGGCUCAUAUACCAGUGUCAAACAAAAGGGAUCAUGUGAUCAGUGCAUUGGUGGGUACUACUGUGUACAGAACACCAGUGACCCCAACUCCUUCCCCUGCCCUGUGGGUCACUACUGCCCCCCGGGCACUCAGUAUGACACCCAGUACAAGUGUUCCUCGGGCUCCUACAAUCCACUGCCAACCCAGAGCAGCUCCACAGCCUGUAAGCUGUGUGACGCAGGCACCUACUGCCUUGGGGACGGACUUAGUGCCCCAACAGGAAACUGUAGCCAAGGCUGGUUCUGUACUGGAGGGGCCUCAGAGUCCAAACCACUGGUGCUUGGUAACUACACCAGUAUAGAUGUGUGUACCUGCCCUGCCAACAACUAUACAGGGGGUAAGUGUCAGCCGGGCUCCUUCUGUCCAGAGGGAUCCUCCGCCCCCACCUCCUGUACCGCAGGGAUGUACUGUGAUGACUACGAGUUGGCCACACCUAAAGGAAAUUGUCAAGCUGGGUACUAUUGCCCCACCGGUCAGACAGAGGCCAACCCUGCCCCCUUCCUGUGUAUUGCUGGUCACUACUGUGAGGAGGGGUCAGGCACACCCACUCAGUGUCCAAUUGGAACCUUCUCCAAUGCCACCGGAAACAGCAAUGUCACAGACUGUAAACCCUGUACCGCAGGAUUCUAUUGUGAUGGCCUGGGUCUAGUUGCUGAAACAGGGCCAUGCACUGCAGGAUACUAUUGCCCUGAGGGUCAAACCACAGGAGCACCAACAGCUUAUGUAUGCCCUACUGGAUCCUAUUGCCCUACAGGAAGUGCCCUACCAAACAUUUGUCCAAGAGGUAAAUACAACUAUCAGACAACACAAGCCACCUGUUUGGACUGCCCAGCCGGUAAAUAUUGUGACCCCUAUGAGAAUGGUAAUGUGACCGGAAUCGUGACCCCUCUGAGCUGUCCUGCAGGGUACUACUGCCCCCUGGCCACUGGCUACAACAUGACCAACCCCUGUCCAUCCGGUACCUACAGUCCUUUCACAGACCUCGAUGCUGCUGCUUCAUGCAGUUCCUGUGACCCAGGUAAAUACUGCCAGACCCCUGGCCUGACCGGUCCAGAGGGAGACUGUGCCACCGGUCACUGGUGUAUGUUUGGAGCCAACACUUCUACCCCCACAGACGGUACCACAGGGGACGUGUGCCCCCAGGGAAGCUACUGUCCAGUAGGCAGCUCAAGAGGAGAAUACUGUCCACAAGGAACUUUUGGCAACACCACUGGACUGAGGUCAGCCAAUGAGUGCAUUACCUGUGAGCCAGGGUACUACUGCCCCACCCAGGGGCACGUCAAGCCUUACGACCAGUGUAAUGCUGGUUACUACUGCUCUGGAGGCUCCAUAGAGGCCAAUCCAGUGGCCAAGAGCUAUGGUUACGUGUGUCCCGUGGGACAUUACUGUCCCAAGGGAACCCCAGUCCUGGUGCCUUGUCCCAAAGGAACCUACCAACCAGGCACAGGAAAAACUCAGUUGUCAGAUUGUGUGAACUGUUCGCCGGGCCGGUACUGUCUGGAGUCUGGAAAUGACACCACAACAGCUGACUGUCAGGCCGGCUACUACUGUGUCAGUAAAGCCGAAAUUCCCAACCCAACAGAUGGAACAACGGGAGACAUAUGCCCCAUUGGUCAUUACUGCCCCACCGGUUCAUCCACUCCUCAGCCGUGCAGCUCAUCAACCUACAUGAACCACACAGGUGCUGCAGCCUGUUACACCUGCCCCCAGGGCUACUUCUGUACCUCUGGCAGCACUGCUGAUCCUUGCCCCCAGGGAUAUUACUGUCCGAUUGGAACUGGCACAGACAAGAAACCUUGCCCUGUGGGUACAUUCGGAGCAACAGACAGACUGAGCAAUGAGACGGAGUGUACGGCCUGUACUGGCGGCCAUUACUGUGACUCCCAGGCCCUCACCCAGCCCGCCGGGGGGUGCAGCGCAGGAUAUUACUGUAUCUCAGGCGUAAACAUCGCGUCACCUGCAGUGGCUGGAUCAUUCCUCGGAGACGGAGGGGUUUGUCCCCCUGGAACAGAAUGUCCAUUCAAUUCCAGCUACCCCACACCUUGUGCCCCCGGAAAAUAUGCUCCAAUGGCAACGACAGCAGCUUGUAAUGAUUGUCCAGCAGGUUACUACUGUGUGAACGCUACCAUCACCCCCACCAUCUGUCCUGUGGGUCACUACUGCCCAAAGAACACCGAGUUUGAUCAACACUACCCCUGUCCUUCAGGAACCUACUUCAACCAGACAGGUGCCUUGGCAGAGACAGAUUGUAUGGACUGUCCCCCUGGACAGUAUUGUGAGGGAACUGGAAAUGUCUUCCCAAGAGGAUUCUGUGACGAGGGAUUCUGGUGUGGAGGGAAAUCUUUCCAAAGACGGCCGUACGACACGGGGAAUCUCACCGUCAUCAAUGGAACUACCAAUGACCUAUAUUCCAAUGACACCUGCGCCCCUCUGUGGGGAUGUGUGUGCCCAGCUUUCCAGAUGACCAGUGGUGGUAUCUGCCCCAUGGGAUACUACUGCCCAGUGGGAUCCUCCCAGCCCUCGGCCUGUACCCCAGGAAUGUACUGCGAGACUCCAGGGCUGCCUCUACCUACAGGAAACUGUAGUGCUGGUUGGUACUGUAACCACACAAGCUCCACCAAGUAUCAGCACAUGUGUCCAGCUGGCUCCUACUGUCCAUCCGGAUCUGAUAUCCCAACUCCAUGUCCAGCCGGAACCUACUCCGGUUUGGAUAACAAUGGAGCACUCACUGACUGUCUCAACUGUACAGCCGGCCACUACUGUCAUGGUCUUGGAAACACUGCCCCUACUGCCCAGUGUGCGGCAGGCUACUACUGCCCCGGGGGACAGGAAUCUAGCACCCCAUCAGGACUAGAGUGUUUUGCGGGCCACUACUGCCCAAAGGGUUCUAAUUACCCAAUCAUGUGUGACAAUGGAACCUAUCAAGUCAACCCAGGCCAAGAUAGCUGUAUGACUUGUCCAGCCGGAUACUUCUGCGAUGCUGCAUCAGGGAAUGUGACUUAUGUGAAUGGUAACCCUGUAGUGAACCCUACCGCUUGCCCAACUGGAUACUACUGUCCAGAGGGAACAAUAUCCGGACAGUCCUAUCCGUGUCCCAUCGGAACCUUCGGUCCCAAUCAAUACCUGUUUGCUCAGGAGAACUGCACAACUUGCACGGCAGGUUAUUACUGCGAACAGGCAGGAUUAUCUGCCCCUACUGCAGAGUGCUAUGGAGGAUACUACUGCACAGGUGGUGCUGAGAUUGCAGAACCUAUAUCUCACAAUGUAAACCUGACCCAUAAUGUCACCUUCACUGGAAACAACGAGUGUCCCACUGGAUACUUCUGUCCCAAUGGAACCAGCUACCCCAAGCCCUGUCCAAUAGGAACAUUCUCAGAGGUGGCAGGGGUGUCCCAGGAGAGCGACUGUCUACCAUGUCGCCCCGGGCGAUACUGUAAUCAACAGGCCUUCAUCAUGAUCACCACCGCCCCCAACUGCUCCGCAGGGUAUGUGUGUACAGGAGGAGCCAAUAGCUACAUUCCCACCAUCCCCACCCACGGCUACAUGUGUCCCACAGGACACUACUGUGUGGAGGGCACCACCCAGGAGCAGGGCUGUCCCCUGGGGACCUACCAGUCCAACAUGGGACAGGACCACUGCCUCAGCUGUCCCGCCGGGAAAAUGUGUACGGAGGUGAACCUAACCCUGCCCCUGGACUGUAUGACAGGCUACUACUGUCUGGCUGCCCAGGACCCGAUCCCCUGUCGCAACGGAACCUACAACAAUGUAACAGGAAGGAGCUCCGAGUCAGACUGUGUGGACUGUCCUGUGGGAAAAUACUGUGAAGGACUUGGAAACAGUGUCCCUGAUGGUGACUGUGAUGCUGGAUACUUCUGUGAGGGUGGAGCCAAUAGCAGGGCCCCAUCACCCUCCCCCACCUACCCCAACAACGGACUCUGUGACCCGGGCAGAUACUGUGUCUCAGGGACCAGCAUGCAACAGGAGUGUCCCCCGGGAACGUUCAGAAACACCUCAGGUGCGGCAGCAUUGUCGGAUUGUCUCCCCUGUACAGGAGGAUAUUACUGUGCUGGCAAUGGACUGACCUCCCCCACUGGUCUCUGUGCCGCCGGAUACUAUUGUCCGGACAACGAGACCAUCUCCUCCGCCACGCCCUCAAGCUUUGUGUGCCCCUCCAACUACAAAUGUCCCGAAGGGUCAGCUAAGCCAGAGCCCUGCUUGUCUGGAGAGUUUCAGGCCAACAUGGGGAUGUCAGUGUGUAGUAAAUGUCCUGCUGGUUUCUACUGUAACACAACUGGCAAUGUGCCAAUCAAGUACGACUGCCCACCAUUCCACUACUGCCCGGAAGGAACCACCGAUCCCACCAACUGUCCGGACGGAACCUUCACUUUCUCCAACAUGACCAACCUGGAGUCUGCUGCGGAGUGCUUGCCAUGUCUGCCAGGAAACUACUGCAGAGGUGGAAUGAUUUCCAGCGAGUGUCUAGCUGGAUACUGGUGCAAGUCUGGCUCCAGUAACAACCUGAUCAACCGGACCAUCGAGUUCCAGAACUGUUCAGCCAAUGAGGAUUGCUCGGGUCUGUGUCCCAAGGGUCACUACUGUCCCCAGGGUGUGGAUCUUCCUCUCCCCUGCCCAGAACACACCUACAGAGACACCGAGGGGGCGGAGACUCCAGACCAAUGUGCUCCCUGCCCAGCGGGCUUCUACUGUCCAUCAGGUACAUCUAACCCUGACCCCUGUCCCAUCGGUUACUACUGUCUGGAAGGGAACGGCACCACAGAUUGUCCGAGACUAAGGUACCGGAAUGUCACAGGGGCGAAAACCGAGACAGACUGCUUCCCCUGUGAGCCAGGUUACUACUGCAAUGAAACAGGAAUGGCUGAUUACUCCACAUACCUAUGCCCCCCUGGAUUCUACUGCCUGUCUGGUCAGGAGCCGAUCCUGUGCCCAGCGGGUAGAAUGAGAGACACUGCCGGGGCCGCCGACUUCACCGACUGUGACCUCUGUCGUCCUGGGUACUACUGCCCUAACGACACCAUCAACACCCAGGGCAUCCCCUGUAGAGCCACUUACGAGUGUCCCACGGGAUCCUCCAUUGAGUCGGAUUGUAGGCCAGGUCACUACUGCCCACCUGUGACAGGUGUACCGCCCAUCUGUCCCCCUGGAUACUACUGUCCAAAUGCCACAGAGACGCCCAUCCUGUGUAUUUAUCCAUUCUACUGUCCCGAGGGAAGCAAUAUGACCUUGGCUUGUGACCUUGGGAAUCAGGCCUUGACCCAUGCUGGAAUAAGAUAUGACAAGGGAUUGUCCUGUAGGAUCUGCCCUCCUGGGUACUACGGAAACUCCACCACCAGAGCUACCUGCGAACUCUGUCCAGCUGGGUUCUACUGUCCAAUGGGAACAGGGCAUGGAAACACAAACCCUUGUCCAAUAGGAACCUACUGUCCGAUCGGCUCUGAUCAUCCCACGAACUGUCCUGCGGGAUACAGAGGUGAGAAACUCCGAGCGGAAAGUUACUACGACUGUCAUGGCUGCCCAGCAGGAACGUACAGUGACACUGAGGCUGCCACUCAUUGUAAACCUUGUGGAAGCUCCUCCUACUCCACCGGAAACAGCUCCAUAUGUACUUGUAUAGGGAAAUACAGGUCUUUCCAGAAAUCAGUGGGGUCAUGCGUGUGUUUGACGGGUUAUAUCUACUACGAUGAGACGGACACUCAGAAGACUGAGGAAAACAGCGACGAGGACUGCCAGCAGAUUGUAGACACAAGGUGUACGGAGUACGAAGUGCGGCUCGCCUCCACGCGGCAGUGCGUGCUCAAGGAGAGCGUGGACUGUUAUGCUGGAUGUGACACCUCAGGCUACCUUGACGUGGAACUUGGAGUAUGCCUGUGCAAUGACUUGAUCGCGGCGGACUAUGUCUGUGAUGCCUCCUGUCUGGCUGUAGCUCCCUCUGUGACAGCAGAGCUACAGAGUGAUGGCACCCUCCAAGUCAAAAUCACCAACUCCAGUGGCCAUGUUACCACCUCUCAGACAAUGACAGAUAUAUUCGGCCCACUGGAGAGUACCAACGGUGUGAAGGGGGUGAUGGUUGUGAAUUUCUAUGAUGACCGCAUCACUUCCACCAUCUUCAGGGACCAAUCAGAAGCCAAGGACUUGUUCUUGACAACAGCGGAGAUGGCCAAUGGAGUGACCAACGCCCCGGGGACCCACAUUGGUCGCCGUCGUCUGCUGGCUACCACCGUCCCCAACAACCAGAUCUCCAACAGCUUGCUGUGUCUGGAACUCAAUGAGAUGGUCAUGUUCAAGAUUUGGGUCAACGACACAGACCGGACCAAGAGCCACUACCCAGUCUAUCUCAAGGACCACCUGUUCAGCAACAACGCCAACUUCGACUAUGGCCAGUUCCUGGCUCUGAAGAAUCUGAUCGAGACAACCAAUGUCAACAUUUCCACGUUCGCUUUCGUCUUCACCGAGGCAGGGAAUUACGUGUUCCAAGACUAUUCCACUUCUACGUCCCUCAUUUACAUAAAAGUGAUGAAUGCUGGCACCACUUGUGGUACAGGAUCUCGAGUCCAGGCAGCCACCGCCUCCAAUCUUGUGGCCCUAGGAUUCUACAAAUCAAACCCCAGCAAUGUGGCUCCUGACUGGGGACUGAUCAUAGGCAUGAUCGCGUUCUUCGGAGCACUGGUUCUGCUGUUGGUGGUGGCAGUGAUUGUCUGGAGACCUAGGGACGCCGGCAUCUAUCCCAUGAAGCACUGGAAGCCACAGUACCGCAGCCUAGGGGCUCCCCCUCCUGUCCCAUCCUACAUGAGAUACGAUGUAGGACACUGGCCUGACAAAGCAAUUGCUGAGAGUGGUCUAGGAGAGAGACUGACAGGGGAUGGAGCAGAGGCCAAUGUCUUGGACUCCAUGGCCAUCAAAGGAGUUGAGGAUCUGGAAAAUUUCAACGUGAAGGUGUUCUACGACAAGCUAGAGGACCAGAACCUCCACAUGGCCUCGCAGCUGGCCAAGCAACAGGAGGACCUCAAGUCCUUCUACAAGAAGAUAUGUGACCAGAAUGAGGAGCUGAAGCACCUGCUGAAGAGCCUUGACCCAGCCAAGCUGGAGGAGCUGGAAAGAAAGAUGGCAGAGAGAGCAAAGAGGGAGGAAGGCAUGCAGAAGAGUGCUGGGGAUGUGUUCAACAUCGUUAACGGCAAUGUCAACAUGGGCGGGGCAGGAAAAUACCGUUUCGCAGGUGGAAACAACAGAGAAGCAGAAUUAAUGGCUGCUCUUCAACUGCUGCUGGACCGACUGAACUCUGGUGAUCUUCCAAUCAGUCAGAGCAUGUGGGAACAGAUUCAGAAGGGUGGGGUCGUGCCGGAGGGUGGUUCCAUCAUGAACAUCAAUAGGAUGCCCGGAGGUCAAGGCAAACAGGGAGAAGUCCUAAGAAAGCAGAGGGAAGAGAGGAUGCAGUUAGACAGGGAACUGCAGCAGGAAGAAAAUGACAUGAUCUCGGAGAUAAUCUCGCGAAAUGAGGACCAGCGUAAGGAUACCGUCAACAUGAUGACCGACGGGCUUGCAGGCAAGCUCCAAGGUGACCUCAAAGAUUCCCAGGUCAAGGACAUCCUAGACAAGUAUGAGAAAGACCUGGAUGCCAAUAUGAACAAAUUCAAUCUGGAGAAAGAAAAGCAGUUACAAGACUUGAGGAGGAAGUUGGCAGAGAAGAGAAGGAGGAAAGAAGCUCUGCUGAGAGAAAAACACAACAAAGAGGCGGCUGAUGAAGGUCUUCCUCCUCCUCUCCAAGAAGAUGACAACGUGGCGGACACGAAGAUCCGACAGUCGGAGGCCCUGUAUGACACUCUGCUGGCAGAGGAGGCUGCAGGCCAGGCUAAAGGUGAAGGGGAGAUGGACCACCAACUCAGUGAAGAGAAACGCAGACUGGAGUCUGAAAAACUGCAAGAUCAUCUGAAUCAACUGGCUCAGCAGGGCAUCAUAACAGCUCAGCAGAAGGACGAACUUCUGAGGAAACACUUGGAGGCUGAGCAGAAUCUCCAGAAGGUGCACAACCACCAGCGAGACAGCCAGAUCUCUCACCUCAAAGACAAGCUCGCUGAGCGACGCAAGAGAAAGCUGGCCAAGCUACGCGCACAGCAGGAACAGGAGCUGUCUGAUCUUUCCUCACACCUGAUAGAAGAUGGAAACACAGAAGGCUUGGAGCAAGAACUGGAGCAACUGAGGCGUCUCCAUAAACAACAGAUGGAGGCUACUGAAGCAGAGAUGGAUGCAGAGGAAAAAGAACAUGAACGCCGCAUUAUUAGGAAAAUUGACGAUGAUCACAACCAAGAAUCUAAGAAGAAACGCAACGAAAUCUUCAAAAAGAUUGCUGAACAAUGCCCAGAACAGCAGCAGACAGCUAUGCAGCGUCUCCUUGACAACUAUCACCAUGACACCGAGACCCUUGACCAAGAGCUGGCAGUACAGAGGAGUCGCCACCUGGCAGAUCUAGAAGCCAAACUGGCCGCCAGAAGAGCCAGAAAGUUAGCAGAAGCAAGGAGAAAGAAGGAUGAAGAGGAGCAACAGAGAUUAAUCUCGGAGCAAAAUCGCCAAAUGCAGCAAGGAGGACAAGUGGAAGAGGAGGAGACAGACUUGGCCCAUGUUCCCAAAGUUCAGUACAGCCAGUCCAUUGAAGAGCAGGCUCUUCAAAAGGAACAGGAGAGAAUAAGAGAUGAAAUGAAGAAGAGACAUAAACAAGAGAGAGAGAAGGUGGCAGAGAGACUGGAUGCUGAGGAGGACAAGGAGGAGCGAGUGUUGACCAAGGACCUGGACUCAGAGAGAGAGAAGAUGCUGAGGGAGAAGAGGAACAGACAGGCCACAGAGCUGUCCUCGAGAAAGGACCUCACUGAGGAGCAACUCAGAGAUCUUAUGGCAUCUCAUGAACAAGAACUCCAAGACCUAGAGGAGAGGUUAGAGAAUGACAGGCACCGGCAGUUCCUGAGUCUGAGGGAGAAACUGAACGCCAAACGCAACAGGAAGAUGGACGAACUACGGCGCAAACAGGAUGUAGAAAGCACCAAGGAAAUGAUCGAACAGAAGAAAGAAGUGGAUGAAAUCAAACUGAAAAAAGCUAAGGGUGUUGAACAUGAUGCCAUUGUGGAAGGAAUUAAACAGAAUGGGGAAGAAGAUACGGACAAAGUGGUGAAAGCUGUGUUAGCCAAGAGGCAUGCCCAGGAAAUGCAAGACCUUGAGAACCAGUUUAGAACCAAGAGGAAGCUAAUGGUGGACGAUGCCCUCAAUAAGCUGCAUGAGAAAUAUGACAAACUGCGGGACAGUUUGGCCAAGCAGCACCAGGAAGAGUUAGCUGCCCUUCAGAAGAAGGGACUGAGCCCUGAGGAGUAUCAGCACCAAAGGACACAGCUCCUCAACAAACAGCAGCUGGAGAUGUCUGACCUGGAGAGGAGACUGUCUGAGGAGGAGCAGGAUAUAGAGCGAGGAGCACUGACUGACUGGGAGGUGCAGUACGCCCGCGCCAAGCUGGACCUCAAGGAAAAACACUACAAGGAAUUUGCUGAAGCUCUGAAGGAGUUUUCACCAGACCAUGAAGGCAUUCAAGACGCAAAGCACAGUGUGGAGGAGUUAGAGAAACUCAAGCAUGAACUGGAACAAAAACGCAAGUCACAGCUGGAAGAGGCAAAAAAACAGCAAGAAGAAUUCGAAAAGAAUGAGAAAAAGCGUUUGGAGGCGGAAAUGGAAGCCUAUGCUAAACAGCUUGAAAAAGACACCACACGAGAAAAGGAACAACAGGAUCGCAAGCUGGAGCAGCUCAACAAACGCAAGGAAGACAUGGUCAAGGAAAAGAAACAGAAAAUGAACGAGGAACUAGAAAAGAUAAGACAGCAGGGUGCUAGUGAGGACGAGCAGAAACGCUUGAUCGAGCAGCACGAGCGUGACCUUCAGAACAUACUCAACAAGAUGGACGCCGACAAAAUGAGGAUGCAGAGCAAUCUGCAGGAGAGACUGAAAAAGAAGAAAGACGAACGACUGAAGAACAAACAGGAAGAGCUGAAAGAGAAUUACAAGGAGCAGAAAAAAGAGAUGGAGCAGAAACAGAAGAGUGAAAUCAACAGGAUCAAGAAGGAUGAGGCAUUGACAAUUCAAGAGAGCAUCAGCUCUGGGUAUGUCCCUCCUCGUGCCUCCUCACCAGCUCCCAGAGAUGAGGACCAGUCAGAUGUCGACGAACCAGUGACAUCAGCAUCCCCUCAAGAACAAAUGCCAGCCUCCUACCAGAUGGCAGCACCUCUAAAUGAAGCUGAGCUCAUGUCCCUUCUGAUGGCCUCGCCUGUUUACCAGAAGCUGGAGCAAAUCAAAGAUGCCGUCAAAAAUGGAAUCACUCCACCCAAACAUAGAAUGGAGCCUGGUGAAGGCUAUCAUGACCCUCGCGAUGCUGAGUGGGCCAAGGACACAGAGCUUGUUCCUGUAGACAUCGGCACCCUGAACGCUCGCUCUUUCAUUGUCUACAAGUUCGGCUGCUUCGUGACCGACCUGAUCGCCUCUAGGUGUCGCCAUGCCCCUGUGACAAUACUCCUGGCUGAGAAGAUUCCGUCCAACAAGAACCUGGCUAGAAAUGCCUUCAGGAACUCCUUCCAUUACGAUGCCAACAACAGGAUUCUGUAUAUCCGGGCUGCCCGGCUGGACACAGUCGGAGACUUCAUUGUGGUCCUCAUUCACUCCCUAGCCCACAUCAAAGCAGGUGACCUGAGAGACGACAGCAACCCAGACUUCACCAAGGAGUACAACCGCGCCCUGGCUGUUGUGUGUGACGACCUCUUCUUUGCCCGAUACAAGCGAACCACGGGACUGUCGCAGUCUGUUGCCAAGGCAACUGGAGUCAAUGUGGAGCAAGCUGCCCUCCAGAUGCUGCAGGCCAUGUUUGGUGGAUGUCGCACGGAAGACGAGAAGAUGAAGAUGGUGGAUGAUCUCCUGGAUGUCAAGCUCCUUCCAGGAACCAACAUGGAGGGAGUGCAUUUUAACAAGAACAGGCUGAAUGACAGAUUAUCCAAAUACUCAGGAUUCAGCAACCUAAAUCAACUGCAAGGCAUGCUGGGUAAUGUAGAGGACAAGAUGGCCCAGGCCAAAUCUCAGGGCAUCAGCAAGAGGUCGAACGAUCAGCUGGGUUCUCUCAGUCAGCGAUACUCCACAACAGGUCCUUCAGUUCUCAAUAAGUUGGCACCAUUCCGAUUUGUGACUUCCAACAUGACUGGACAGGCAUUGUGGCAGACCUUUGUCAACCAGGAGGAUGGUGAGGAAACUGAUGCUCCAAGAGAGGAGGCCAUUCAAGACUCACUGGAAACACUACAAGAACGUCAUGACAAUCUAACAGCAGACUUUUCCAACAUCAACUCGGAAAUCAUCGAACUCCAAGACCGAUCUCGCUCGCUGGACGAGGAGCUCGCCGCAGAAACCGCCCUUUCAGAGACAGCCAAGGACAAAGAGAGGCAUGCUCAACUCGCCAAGAAAGUGCGAUCGAAACUCAAUGACACUCGAGCAAGAAUUGCCAGACUUGAGAUGGAGAAAAAUCUCAUGGUGAGGAAACUGGCUGAGUGCGAGAAAGAUAUGGCAGUCAAGAAACUCGACCCACAACAGAGUGAGGAGAAAUCUGUGACAUUUUCCGCAGACACCAAGAAGAAAUCAAAGAAGUAAACAUGAAGCUUCCAAGCACCAUUUUAUAGACGUUGUUAAAUAGUUGAACAGUUUCAGUUGUUUUUUAUAUAUAUAUAUACUCUUAUUUGUCUAUGAUAGACAAAUAUUAAUUCAGAUUUUACCUGUUUUCCAAAUGUUGCUUUAUGCAUACAAAAGAUGUGUCUAUUAUUCUAUGAAGUAAAAAUGAAACAUUUGUUAAAGGAUUUCUAAUAACAAAUUGUCAUUUUUAAUUUAAAUACUGUAUAUUUAUUAGAAUUAAUAUUUAUUUAUAUACAUGGUAAUUAUUUUCAAUAUAGUUUACUUUUUCAUAAUUUAAUUUAUUAAUAGUUUCUUUUGUCAAAAUUUAAUUAUUUCCUAACAGAUUUUGACACAUCACAGAAGUGAUAUGAAUUGGAUUCUAAUUUCAUUCAAGUUUUGUCCUCCCCCUGAAUUAUAUAUAUACACUUGUAGAUUUCAACUAUUUUUAUAUUUCACACCUCUCAACAACCCACAAGAGCAUUAUACAUAUUGACUCCAUCCAUUGUAAACAAUCAAUUUCAUAAUGAAAAUGCAUUACAAAUUCCUUCAUGAUAAUAUAUGAUGACUGUGAUAUAUUUAUAGUGAUUUU
rnacentral:sRNA from 1 species